UCAUCUUGGUAGUUUUCUCUCUUUGAGAAAUUCAUCUUAGUAGUUGAGUAUAUGUACGGAUGCAAGGUCCGGUGAGAGUUCAGCUGAAUGGCAAGCCAGGAGGGAACAGCAUGCGCGAGCAACCGGCACACUAGGUGGUGCAGCCUGACACGUUGGUGAAGAUGAGGUUGGUUGCUCUUUUUUACAUAAUUGUGGCGUAUUGGUUGAGGAAGUGAGACAUCAAGUUUACUUGACAACUUGACUUUUAAUUUGUGCCAUGCCAAAUUUUCUUGGACAAGUGACUUUCGGGAACAAGGGGGUUCGGUAUGAAAUCUUGCCUAGAAAUAACUACCAAAACUAAGAAGGAUACAUUCCCUGACCGCAGAAAUCAUUGACUAACUAUAGAUUGAUACUCCAUUGACGACGAAGAACACACCAUCAAGUUUUUAAUAACGCAAAAAUCUUAGAGGUCAAGAAUAUCAAGUACACACCAGGGCAGCAGGGCUAGCACCCCUCCCGCGGGCGACGGGGAGGGCGACCACACCACCGCCGCCAGCGCACCCCUCCUCCCGCUUCCUCCUCCCUCGCCGCCGGCAGAGGGCGGGGCCGGGCAAAGCCCGGUCGCCGCCGACGGCGGCGGGGUCCCUCUCGUCUCUCUUCGUGCGGGGUGGCCGGCGCGGGCUGACGGCCCCGGACCUGGUGGUGGCGCUUCCGUGGGGCUCCACCACGCGGCGUCGCAUCGGCGCUGGUGCAGGCGUGCGGGUGCGGUGGCGGCGUGGCGGGCCACGCCCUGGUGGUGCACGGCCGGUGUGGUGAAGGCGGGCUGCCAGAUCUAGACGCGGUGGGUGCGGGCUGCGGGCGGCGCGGGCUGCGGUCGGUCGUCUUCGCCGUGGUGGUCUGCUGGCGGAGGUGGCGGCGCAGCGGUGUGGGUCUCGCCCUUUCUCUCCUCUGGUUUCGGUCGGGGGCUGGGGGCGGGCUGGGGCUGGUGGUGGUGGAUGUGCCGGAUCUGGCGCUUUUUUCCGGCGGGCGGCGCGGAUUGGGGCAGCGGCCCGGUGUGGCGGCUGCUCCGGCUAUGGGCGGCGGCGGCGAGGUGGCUCGACUCUCUUGGCGUGGCGGAUUCCUUUCGUUGCGUCCGCAUCAUGGCAGUUUGGCGGGUCGGCUGCGGCGGCGGCUGGUUUUCCGGCGUCGGCUCUUUUGUAGGCGGCCCCUUUCGACCUUCGGUCCCUCUCCUCGUCGGCAGGCCGCUACCGUCGUCGAAGGUUCGUACCUCCCCCGGUUACGGUCUAUCGCUCGUCUCGCGCUCGGCAGCAGGAUCGAGCUCGUCUCGCGCCCGGCAGCAGGACCGACCUCGUCUCACGCCCGGCAGCAGGACCGACCUCGUCUCGCGCCCGACAGCAGGACGAGUCGAUGGAGGCGUUGGGGGCAGCCCAGGGGUGCGAAAGGCGGGUCCUUUCCGCCCACAUCUUUGGUGGGGGUAGCGGUGGGCCUCGAGUGAGGUGGUGUCCGGGUCUUGGAUGUCGGGGCGGCGGCCCUGGUGGUGGUUCCGCGGUGCUCAUGGGCAGAGCCCGCAGCUAGGUGCUGCCCGGUGGCCAUGGUCGUGUGGGCGGCGUGGUCGCCGGGGUGUGGCGUUCGGUGGUGGUGAUUGUUGGUCGGGGUGAAAACCUGUUCUAUCUUCGGACGGACUGGCGACGCCGAAGCUUGUUCCCUUCUUGAAGGCGUCGUCGCGGCUCUCAUUACCCAUUUUGUUGCUCCAGGGGAAACUCUAAUCCUCGGGUCGGGUGGUGGCGGCGCUUCGGUGUCGUAUCCUUCCUGAAGGUGCCGCCUUGGAGCCCACGAUCCGUCGUAUGUGGCUUCAUCUCUUCGCGGUGGCGUGUUCACGAUUGAGGACCCCGGUUGCUCUUGUAGCGCUAGGGCUGUUGUUGCGCUCAGCGCCUAUGUAUCAUGCCUUGGGUGUGUGCGUGUGUAGUAUUGGCGGGUGUUUGUACCGUGUUGUCGAGAAUCAUUGCUUUAUACAUAAAGCGGGGCGAAAGCCUUUUUCGGUAAGUACAUACCAUUGACCAUGAAUAUCCUGGAACAUGCAUGAAAGUCCCUUUUCCCACCUUGCUUCAUAACUCGCACCCGCUGUAGCAUGUCAUAUUAAUAUGACCAAAACAAGCAAUUAAACCCAUUAAGAGAUGCUAGAAUGGUGGCCAACCAGCUACGUCAUGUGGCGGAUGCUGGUUGGUCACGAUGAGAAAGUAUUUUUAUAGUUUUUUAAAUGGUAGGAAGGCUUUUUUUAGAGAAGUUUUUUUUAGGUUUUUCCUUUUUUUUUAAGAUGUUGUGAUGUUCACGUGAUGCGAGAUUUUUUUUUUAAAUUUGACAUGAUGGUAAGGUGCACAUAGCUUUCUCUCAAGCGGCCCGCAAUGGCGGCCCCAACCACUAGUACAUGGUAUCUGUAACAUCUCACUCUAGCCAUGAAGCGCAUGCCUAUAUGUGCUCCAUGAAGGAAAUAUGCCCUAAAGGCAAUAAUAAAGUUAUUAUUUAAUUCCUUAUAUCAUGAUAAAUGUUUACUAUUCAUGCUAGAAUUGUAUUAACCGGAAACAUAAUACAUGUGUGAAUACAUAGACAAACAGAGUGUUACUAGUAUGCCUCUACUUGACUAGCUCGUUGAUCAAAGAUGGUUAUGUUUCCUAGCCAUAGAUAUGAGUUGUCAUUUGAUUAACGGGAUCACAUCAUUAGGAGAAUGAUGUGAUUGAUUUGACCCAUUCCGUUAGCUUAGCACACAAUCGUUGAGUAUUCUGCUAUUGCUUUCUUCAUGACUUAUACAUGUUCCUAUGACUAUGAGAUUAUGCAACUCCCAUUUACCGGAGGAACACUUUGUGUGCUACCAAACGUUACAACGUAACUGGGUGAUUAUAAAGGUGCUCUACAGGUGUCUCCAAAGGUACUUGUUGGGUUGGCGUAUUUCGAGAUUAGGAUUUGUCACUCCGAUUGUCGGAGAGGUAUCUCUGGGCCCACUCAGUAAUGCACAUCACUAUAAGCCUUGCAAGCAUUGUAACUAAUGAGUUAGUUGCGGGAUGAUGUAUUACGGAACGAGUAAAGAGACUUGCCGGUAACGAGAUUGAAUUAGGUAUUGAGAUACCGACGAUCGAAUCUCGGGCAAGUAACAUACCGAUGACAAAGGGAACAACUUAUGUUGUUAUGCGGUUUGACCGAUAAAGAUCUUCGUAGAAUAUGUGGGAGCCAAUAUGAGCAUCCAGGUUCCACUAUUGGUUAUUGACCGGAGACGUGCCUCGGUCAUGUCUACAUAGUUCUCGAACCCGUAGGGUCCGCACGCUUAACGUUUCGAUGACGGUUAUAUUAUGAGUUUAUAUGUUUUGAUGUACCGAAGGUUGUUCGGAGUCCCGGAUGUGAUCACGGACAUGACGAGGAGUCUCGAAGUAGUCGAGACAUGAAGAUUGAUAUAUUGGAAGCCUAUAUUUGGAUAUCGGAAGUGUUCCGGGUGAAAUCGGAAUUUUACCGGAGUACCGAGAGGUUACCGGAACCCCCCGGGGGCUUAAUGGGCCAUAGUGGGCCUUUUUGGAGAAGAGGAGAGGCGGCCAGGGUAGGGCCGCGCGCCCAUCCCCCCUAGUCCGAAUAGGACAAGGAGAGGGGGGCGGCGGCCCCCUUUCCUUGCUCUCUCCCUCCUCUUUCCCCCUCCACUCCUAAUCCAACUAGGAAAAGGGAGGGAGUCCUACUCCACCCGGUGGGAGUAGGACUCCACCUGGCGCGCCCCUCCUGGACGGCCGCACCUUCCCCCUUGCUCCUUUAUAUACGGGGGCAAGGGGGCACCCUAGAGACACAACAAUUGAUCGUUUGAUCUUUUAGCCGUGUGCGGUGCCCCCCUCCACCAUAGUCCACCUCGAUAACACUGUAGCGGUGCUUAGGCGAAGCCCUGCGUCGGUAGAACAUCAUCAUCGUCACCACGCCGUCGUGCUGGCAAAACUAUCCCUCAACACUCGGCUGGAUCGGAGUUCGAGGGACGUCAUCGGGCUGAACGUGUGCUGAACUCGGAAGUGUCGUGCGUUCGGUACUUGAUCAGUCGGAUCGUGAAGACGUACGACUACAUCAACUGCGUUGUGCUAACGCUUCCGCUUUCGGUCUACGAGGGUACGUGGACAACACUCUCCCCUCUCGUUGCUAUGCAUCACCAUGAUCUUGCGUGUGCGUAGGAAUUUUUUUGAAAUUACUACGUUCCCCAACAGUGGCAUCCGAGCCUGGUUUUAUGCGUAGAUGUCAUAUGCACGAGUAGAACACAAGUGAGUUGUAGGCGAUAUAAGUCAUACUGCUUACCAGCAUGUCAUACUUUGGUUCGGCGGUAUUAUUGGAUGAAGCGGCCCGGACCGACAUUACACGUACGCUUACGCGGGACUGGUUCUACCGACGUGCUUUGCACACAGGUGGCUGGCGGGUGUCAGUUUCUCCAACUUUAGUUGAACCGAGUGUGGCUACGCCCGGUCCUUGCGAAUGUUAAAACAGCACCAACUUGACAAACUAUCGUUGUGGUUUUGAUGCGUAGGUAAAAACGGUUCUUGCUAAGCCCGUAGCAGCCACGUAAAAUUUGCAACAACAAAGUAGAGGACGUCUAACUUGUUUUUGCAGAGCAUGUUGUGAUAUGGUCAAGACAUGAUGCUAAAUUUUAUUGUAUGAGAUGAUCAUGUUUUGUAACCGAGUUAUCGGCAACUGGCAGAAGCCUUAUGGUUAUCUCUUUAUUGCAUAAGAUGCAAGCGUCAAAUAAUUGCUUUACUUUAUCGCUAUGCGAUAGCAAUAGUUGCAAAAGCAAUAAUUGGCGAGACGACCAUGUGACGACACAUUAAUAUACAUCAAGAUGAUGGAGAUCAUGGUGUCAUGCCGGUGACGAUGGAAAUCAUGACGAUGCUUUGGAGAUGGAGAUCAAAGGCACAAGAUGAUGAUGGCCAUAUCAUGUCACAUAUUUUGAUUGCAUGUGAUGUUUAUCUUUUAUACAUCUUAUUUUGCUUAGUUUGACGGUAGCAUUAUAAGAUGAUCUCUCACUAAAUUAUCAAGGUAUAAGUGUUCUCCCCGAGUAUGCACCGUUGCGAAAGUUCUUCGUGCUGAGACACCACGUGAUGAUCGAGUGUGAUAGGCUCUACGUUCAAAUACAACGGGUGCAAAACAGUUGCACACGCGGAAUACUCAGGUUAAACUUGACGAGCCUAGCAUAUAACAGAUAUGGCCUCGGAACACUGAGACCGAAAGGUCGAGCGUGAAUCAUAUAGUAGAUAUGAUCAACAUAGUGAUGUUCACCAUUGAAACUACUCCAUCUCACGUGAUGAUCGGACAUGGUUUAGUUGAUAUGGAUCACGUGAUCACUUAGAAGAUUAGAGGGAUGUCUAUCUAAGUGGGAGUUCUUAAGUAAUAUGAUUAAUUGAACGUUAAUUUAUCAUGAACUUAGUCCUGGUAGUAUUAGCAUAUCUAUGUUGUAGAUCAAUAGCUCGCGAUGUUGCUCCCCGUUUAAUUUUAUAUGUUCCUAGAGAAAACUAAGUUGAAAGAUGUUAGUAGCAAUGAUGCGGAUUGGAUCCGUGAUUUGAGGUUUAUCCUCAUUGCUGCACAGAACAAUUAUGUCCUUGAUGCACCGCUAGGUGACAGACCUAUUGCAGGAGCAGAUGCAGACGUUAUGAACGUUUGGCUAGCUCAAUAUGAUGACUACUUGAUAGUUUAGUGCACCAUGCUUAAUGGCUUAGAAUCGGGACUUCAAAGACGUUUUGAACGUCAUGGACCAUAUGAGAUGUUCCAGGAGUUGAAGUUAAUAUUUCAAGCAAAUACCCGAGUUGAGAGAUAUGAAGUCUCCAACAAGUUCUAUAGCUAAAAGAUGGAGGAGAAUAGCUCAAGCAGUGAGCAUGUGCUUAGAUUAUCUGGGUACUACAAUCACUUGAAUUAAGUGGGAGUUAAUCUUCCAGAUAAAAUAGUGAUUGACAGAAUUCUCUAGUCACCAUCACCAAGUUAGUAGAACUUCGUGAUAAACUAUAGUAUGCAAGGGAUGACGAAAACGAUUCCCGAGCUUUUCAUGAUGAUGAAAUCGAUGAAGGUAGAAAUCAAGAAAGAGCAUCAAGUGUUGAUGAUUAACAAGACCACUAGUUUCAAGAAAAGGGUGAAGGGAAUGAAAGGGAACUUCAAAAAGAACGGCAAGCAAGUUGCUGCUUAAGUAAAGAAGCCCAAGUUUGGACCUAAGCCUGAAACUGAGUGCUUCUACUGCAAAAGGACUGGUCACUGGAAGCAGAACUACCCCAAAUAAUUAGCGGAUAAGAAGGAUGGCAAAGUGAACAAAAGUAUAUUUGAUAUACAUGUUAUUGAUGUGUACUUUACUAGUGUUUAUAGCAACCCCUCAGUAUUUGAUACUGGUUUAGUUGCUAAGAGUAGUAACUUAAAACAGGAGUUGCAACAUGAACAGAGACUAGUUAAGGAUGAAGUGACGAUGUGUGUUGGAAGUAGUUCCAAGAUUGAUGUGAUCAUCAUCGCACAAUCCAUAUAACUUUCGGGAUUAGUGUUGAACCUAAAUAAGUGUUAUUUGGUGUUUGCAUUGAGCAUGAAUAUGAUUGGAUCAUGUUUAUUGCAAAACGGUUAUUCAUGUAAGUUAGAGAAUAAUUGUUGUUCUAUUUGCAUGAAUAAAACCUUCUAUGGUCAUACACCCAAUGAAAAUGGUUUGUUGGAUCUCGAUCGUGGUGAUACACAUUUUCAUAAUAUUGAAGCCAAAAGAUGCGAAGUUAAUAAUGAUAGUGCAACUUAUUUGUGGCACUUCCGUUUAGGUCAUAUUGGUGUAAAGCGCAUGGAGAAACUCCAUGCUGAUGGACUUUUGGAAUCACUUGAUUAUGAAUCACUUGAUGCUUGCGAACCAUGCCUCAUGGGCAAGAUGACUAAGACUCCGUUCACCGGAACAAUGGAGCGAGCAACUGACUUAUUGGAAAUAAUACAUACUGAUGUAUGCGGUCGAUGAGUGUUAAGGCUCGCGGCAAGUAUCGUUAUUUUCUGACCUUCACAGAUGAUUUAAGCAGAUAUGGGUAUAUCUACUUGAUGAAACACAAGUCUGAAACAUUUGAAAAGUUCAAAGAAUUUCAGAGUGAAGUGGAGAAUUAUCGUAACAAAAAUAAAAGUUUCUACGAUAUGAUCGCAGAAGUAAAAUAUUUGAGUUACGAGUUUGGCCUUCAGUUAAAACAAUGUGAAAUAGUUUCACUACUCACGCCACCUGGAACACCACAGUGUAAUGGUGUGUCCGAACGUCAUAACCGUACUUUAUUAGAUAUGGUGCGAUCUAUGAUGUCUCUUACCGAUCUACCACUAUCGUUUGGGGUUAUGCAUUAGAGACAGCUGCAUUCACAUUAAAUAGGGCACCAUCUAAAUCCGUUGAGAUGACACCAUAUGAACUAUGGUUUGGCAAGAAACCUAAGCUGUCGUUUCUUAAAGUUUGAGGUUGCAAUGCUUAUGUGAAAAAGUUUCAACCUAAUAAGCUCAAACUCAAAUCGGAGAAGUGCGUCUUCAUAGGAUACCCAAACGAAAAUGUUGGGUACACCUUCUAUCACAGAUCCGAAGGCAAGAUAUUCGUUGCUAAGAAUGGAUCCUUUCUAGAGAAGGAGUUUCUCUUGAAAGAAGUGAGUGGGAGGAAAGUAGAACUUGAUGAGAUAACUGUACCUGCUCCCUUAUUGGAAAGUAGUUUAUCACAGAAAUCUGUUCCUGUGACUACUACACCAAUUAGUGAGGAAGCUAAUGAUGAUGAUCAUGUAACUUCAAAUCAAGUUAGUACCGAACCUCGUAGGUAAACCAGAGUGAGAUCCGCACCAAAGUGGUACGGUAAUCCUGUUCUGGAGGUCGUGUUACUUGACCAUGACGAACCUACGAACUAUGAGGAAGCGAUGAUGAGCCCAGAUUCCGCGAAAUGGCUUGAGGCCAUGAAAUCUGAGAUGAGAUCCAUGUAUGAGAACAAAGUAUGGACUUUGAUUGACUUGCCCAAUGAUCGGCGAGCCAUUGAGAUUAAAUGGAUCUUCAAGAGGAAGACGGACGCUGAUAGUAGUGUUACUAUCUACAAAGCUAGAAUUGUCGCAAAAGGUUUUCGACAAGUUCAAGGUGUUGACUACGAUGAGAGUUUCUCACUCGUAUCUAUGCUUAAGUCUGUCCGAAUCAUGUUAGCAAUUGCCGCAUUUUAUGAAAUCUGGCAAAUGGAUAAACAAAACUGCAUUCCUUAAUGGAUUUAUUAAAGAAGAGUUGUAUAUGAUGCAACCAGAAGGUUUUGUCAAUCCUAAAGGUGCUAACAAAAUAUGCAAACUCCAGCGAUCCAUCUAUGGACUGGUGCAAGCAUCUCGGAGUUGGAAUAUACGCUUUGAUAAGUUGAUCAAAGGAUAUAGUUUUAUACAGACUUGCGGCAAAGUCUGUAUUUACAAGAAAGUGAGUGGGAGCACUACAACAUUUCUGAUAAGUAUAUGUGAAUGACAUAUUGUUGAUCGGAAAUAAUGUAGAAUUAUUCUGCAAAGCAUAAAGGAGUGUUUGAAAAGAGUUUUUCAAAGAAAGACCUCGGAGAAGCUGCUUACAUAUUGAGCAUCAAGAUCCAUAGAGAUAGAUCAAGACGCUUGAUAAGUUUUUUCAAUGAGUACAUACCUUGACAAGAUUUUGAAGUAGUUCAAAAUGGAACAGUCAAAGAAAGAGUUCUUGCCUGUGUUACAAGGUGUGAAAUUGAGUAAGACUCAAAGCCCGACCACGGCAGAAGAUAGAAAGAGAAUGAAAGUCAUUCCCUAUGCCUUGGCCAUAGGUUCUAUAAAGUAUGCCAUGCUGUGUACCAGAUCUAUUGUAUACCCUACAUCGAUUUUGGCAAGGGAGUACAAUAGUGAUCUAGGAGUAGAUCACUGGACAGCGGUCAAAAUUAUCCUUAGUGGAAUAAGGAUAUGUUUCUCGAUUAUGGAGGUGACAAAAAGGUUCGCCGUAAAGGGUUACGUCGAUGCGAGUUUUAACACUGAUCCAGAUGACUCUAAGUCUCGAUCUGGAUACAUAUUGAAAGUGGGAGCAAUUAGUUAGAGUAUUUCCGUGCAGAGCAUUGUUGACAUAGAAAUUUGCAAAAUACAUACGGAUCUGAAUGUGGCAGGCCCGUUGUCUAAACUUCUCUCACAAGCAAAACAUGAUCACACCUUAGUACUCUUUGGGUGUUAAUCACAUAGCAAUGUGAACUAGAUUAUUGACUCUAAUAAACCCUUUGGUGUUGGUCACAUGACGAUGUGAUCUAUGGGUGUUAAUCACAUGGUGAUGUGAACUAUUGGUAAUAAAUCACAUGGUGAUGUGAACUAGAUUAUUGACUCUAGUGCAAGUGGGAGACUGAAGGACAUAUGCCCUAGAGGCAAUAAUAAAGUUAUUAUUUAUUUCCUUAUAUCAUGAUAAAUGUUUAUUAUUCAUGCUAGAUUGUAUUAACCGGAAACAUAAUACAUGUGUGAAUACAUAGACAAACAUAGUGUCACUAGUAUGCCUCUACUUGACUAGCUCGUUGAUCAAAGAUGGUUAUGUUUCCUAGCCAUAGACAUGAGUUGUCAUUUGAUUAACGGGAUCACAUCAUUAGGAGAAUGAUGUGAUUGAUUUGACCCGUUCCGUUAGCUUAGCACACGAUCGUUGAGUAUUCUGCUAUUGCUUUCUUCAUGACUUAUACAUGUUCCUAUGACUAUGAGAUUAUACAACUCCCGUUUACCGGAGGAACACUUUGUGUGCUACCAAACGUCACAACGUAACUGGGUGAUUAUAAAGGUGCUCUACAGGUGUCUCCAAAGGUACUUGUUGGUUUGGCGUAUUUCGAGAUUAGGAUUUGUCACUCCGAUUGUCGGAGAGGUAUCUCUGGGCCCACUCAGUAAUGCACAUUACUAUAAGCCUUGCAAGCAUUGUAACUAAUGAGUUAGUUGCGGGAUGAUGUAUUACGGAACGAGUAAAGAGACUUGCCGGUAACGAGAUUGAACUAGGUAUUGAGAUACCGACGAUCGAAUCUCGGGCAAGUAACAUACCGAUGACAAAGGGAACAACUUAUGUUGUUAUGCGGUUUGACCGAUAAAGAUCUUCGUAGAAUAUGUGGGAGCCAAUAUGAGCAUCCAGGUUCAGCUAUUGGUUAUUGACCAGAGACGUGUCUCGGUCAUGUCUACAUAGUUCUCGAACCCGUAGGGUCCGCACGCUUAACGUUUCGAUGACGGUUAUAUUAUGAGUUUAUAUGUUUUGAUGUACCGAAGGUUGUUCGGAGUCCCGGAUGUGAUCACGGACAUGACGAGGAGUCUCGAAGUAGUCGAGACAUGAAGAUUGAUAUAUUGAAAGCCUAUAUUUGGAUAUCGGAAGUGUUCUGGGUGAAAUCGGGAUUUUACCGGAGUACCGAGGGGUUACCGGAACCCCCGGGGGCUUAAUGGGCCAUAGUGGGCCUUUGUGGAGAAGAGGAGAGGCGGCCAGGGCAGGGCCGCGCGCCCCUCCCCCCUAGUCCGAAUAGGACAAGGAGAGGGGGGCGGCGCCCCCCUUUCCUUCCUCUCUCCCUCCUCUUUCCCCCUCCACUCCUAAUCCAACUAGGAAAGGAGUAGGACUCCACCUGGCGCGCCCCUCCUGGCCGGCCGCACCUCCCCCCUUGCUCCUUUAUAUACGGGGGCAAGGGGGCACCCUAGAGACACAACAAUUGAUCGUUUGAUCUUUUAGCCGUGUGCGGUGCCCCCCUCCACCAUAGUCCAUCUCGAUAACACUGUAGCGGUGCUUAGGCGAAGCCCUGCAUCGGUAGAACAUCAUCAUCGUCACCUUGCUGUCGUGCUGACGAAACUCUCCCUCAACACUCGGCUGGAUCGGAGUUCGAGGGACGUCAUCGGGCUGAACGUGUGCUGAACUCGGAGGUGCCGUGCGUUCGGUACUUGAUCGGUCGGAUCGUGAAGACGUACGACUACAUCAACCGCGUUGUGCUAACGCUUCCGCUUUCGGUCUACGAGGGUACGUGGACAACACUCUCCCCUCUCGUUGCUAUGCAUCACCAUGAUCUUGCAUGCGCGUAGGAAUUUUUUUGAAAUUACAACGUUCCCCAACACUCCAUUCCCUUCGCUAACUAUUUUCCUCUUAUGAUUCAACGCUUGUAGGGAUACGAGGGCUAAGAACUUGUAUGCUCGUAGUUGAAAAUAAGAAAUGCUAUUAGGAAGCUAAGCAGCCAAACAGUGACAAGCGUUUGCUACGUACUAGCAGACAACACACUUAAAAGGACCGCAUGACAUUCUGAACAAACUACCUAGAUUUUAGGAGUGCGAGGCAUUCUAGGCCGGGUGUACAUCCUAGCUACGCAGAGACCGGGUGUUGCUCAUCAUGCUGUGUAGCUUGAUGCUACAUUUUGAGUUAAUAAAUACACCCUUUAUCGAAAAAAGGAGUGUGAGGCAACGGAAAGGCAUCUCCUGGUGAGAGCCCUGCGGAAUGUUACGUGAUGAGCGAACGUCGUGCACCAGCCACCACCACACUAAGCAGUUGUGUAGCUAGGGAUGGACUACACCCUAUGCCAACCCUUAGGGAUACACCUGCUACAAUAGCUACGGUAGCGAAACCCUACGCGGACCCUUGGGGUACAUCUGCUACAGUAGCUACAUUUCUAAAACCCUUGGCCAACCCUUGGGGAUACAUAUUCUACAAUAGUACCAAAAGGUGCUACAGCAACAAAGGGUUUGAUAGCCACGCUCCUUGUCAUGGCCUUGCUGCCUGGGGCCUGGAUACGCCCUAGACGCUAGGCGCAGGAACCAGCACGUUGGUACUGUAAUGCUAAUUUUUUUCACAUAGUUGUGUUGUAAGGAAUCUCGUAUUGGUGAUAGAAUUGAGAGAUCAAGUUUCUUGACAAAUGUUUUAGUUUGUGCCAUGCCAAAUUUUGUUCCACAAAUUACUUUUGUGAACUACGGGUUUACAUAUGAAAUCUUCCCUAGAAAUAACUAUCAAAACUUAGUAGGUCACAUUUUCCUGAUCAUUGAAUCAUUGAUAUUAACUAGAUCUUUAUACUAUAUUGACAAUGAAGAACACACCAUCAAGUUUUUAAUAAAAGCGCAGAAAUCUGAGAGGUCGAGAAUAUCAACUACUCCCUCCGUUCCUAAAUAUUUGUCUUUUUAGAGAUUUCAAAUGGAAUACCACAUACAAAUGUAUAUAGACAUAUUUUAGAGUGUAGAUUCACUCAUUUUGCUCCGUGUGUAGUCACUUGUUGAAAUAUCUAGAAAGACAAAUAUUUAGGAACGGAGGGAGUACAUACCAUUGACCAUGAAUAUCCUGGAACAUGAAAGCCCCCUUUUGCACCUUGCAUUCAUAACCCGCACCCUCUCUGGCAUGUCAUAUAAUGUAACCAUAGUAAGACGCGGGUCCAUUAAUUCUUACCAAUUCCGGUGUACAUGACAUCUCUCACCAGCCACGAGUGUAUGCUUAUAUAUACUCCAUUCGCUCGCUAACUAUUUUCCUCACAUGAUUCAACAAUUGUAGGGAUGUGAGGGGUAGGAACUUAUAUGCAUAUAGUAGAAAAUAAGAAAAACGGUUAGGAAGUUGAGUAGCGACGCAAUGACAAGCAUUUCCUACCUAUUGGCAGUCAACACACUAAAAGGACAGCACGACAUUAUGAACUGAUUUCUAAAGUUCUAGGUAUGCGAGGCAUCAGCAAGGCUUCUCCGAGUAGCAGAGCGGCACGAAGUGCGUCCUGUGAACAUUCGACUACAACAUUGAAAAGAACACCAUGUAGUGUUGUUUGUCUAUUAAUCUUGCAAUAAGGAGUAACGAGACAACUUUAGGCAGCAAGUUGGGCAUCUUUGGUUGUAUUUCUCCCCCAACCUAAGAGGCGAAGGCAUCAUCAAGAUAAUCAGUGUUGGGCAGAGGCUGUUGAAUUACGAAGCAAGGAUGCAUAAUCAAAAUCCUUGUGCACUCUAGGCGAUGGUCAGUAGCUUAGUUUUCAAAAGUUGGUUAUUUCAAAAACUCAUGGUCCCAAAAGUUGUGAGCCACCAUCACUACGUUGUAUCUUCAACGCAUAGAUAGGACCAAGCUAAUAAGCCCGAGUGAGAAGUGUGGAACCUCCCAGCAUGCGACGACUUCUUUGAUCUGCCGGACCCAUAGGGCGAUAGAUUGAUAAGGCCGACGGCCCAUAAAGCCCGUGCGUGUUCGGGCCACGGCACUUCGAGAGGUUUUAUUAUCCGCUACUGUAUUUUUUUUUUGAAAAAACCCUCAUAUAUUAAUUAAUUAAACAGAAAAUUUAUUACAAUCAGUCAUUACAGCAUAAGCCACGCAGGGUGGUACAGAGUUGACGAGCAACCCAUCGGACCUACCAUUAAAACUAAACUUAGCAAUCUCAUGUGCCACCACAUUGGCACGCCGAUUUAUUUUCGAAAAGCUCACAUUCUGGAACAUCUUGACUAUACUCAGAGCCUCUUUCUUCAGGUCAACCAGAGCGGAUCUGUCAAGCUUGUCAUUUGCAAGGAAAGAAUGUACGAAAGCAUAAUCAGUCUCCAAAAUAAUAGACUGGUGAAGGGUAAUACCAAUAUAAAGACCUGCUAGGCAGGCGCGGAGCUCGGCUUCAUUGAUACUAGUACACUGACCAAUAAAAUCCCACGAGGACAAGAUAAUUUCGCCAGACGAAUUCCUGGCGACAACCCCCACACUGGCAGCAUUGAUACUCUUAACAAAACUAGCAUCGACAUUGAUCUUGAUAUAAUUCGCAGGAGGAACUUUCCACACCUCAUGCUCUUCCACCGAGGCAAAAUCCGCAAUAACACCUCUCACCUUUUCCUUACCUUUGUCGCGAGAAUCCAAUUGUAUAGCGUCGUGAUUGGCUGAAAAGGAGGACCAAAAAUUUUGCACAAAAUUUGCCGAGUUAGAAAUGGAUUCUUUUCCUUUUCUAAAAAUUAAAUCAUUUCUCAGAUGCCAAGCUCGCCAGAAGAGGAAUAAAAUUUGUUCUCGCUGCUGUAGGCUCAACUGAUCUAGCAAACUCAAAAGCCGAGCAUUUGAAAACCUCUUCAUCCGGAAUAAUCCAAGAGUCUCUCAAGGCGAACCGCAAAGCACGAGCUUUAGGACACCUCACUAGAGCAUGAAAAAUGCUUUCAUCUUCCACCUUACAAAUAGUGCACGUACCUGAAUUAGUCUGAUGUGUUUAACUCUAUUCAACUGGACUGCCAAACUAUUCGUAGCAGCUCGCCACGCAAAAAUUCUAAUCUUAUGAGGAAUAUUAGCCUUCCAGAUUAACCGCCGUAUCCUCCUUUCCCCCUCUGGUUCGACACUAGAUUGACCAAAGGUAUCUUGACUCUCCUUCAAUUUAAGCGCAAAAUUGUAUCCACUUUUAACAGAAAAUAUACCAUUGUUCUCGUAAUUCCACGCAACAAAGUCUCCCUCCCCAUGCCCAUGAAUACGAAUCUUUAGAAUCUCAUCAGCAUCAUGUGGAUAGAAGAUAUGCUUCACCAAAUUCUUAUCCCAACAUUUACUCGUGCUCAUGAGUAACUCAGAUACCCACUUCAGUCUUGUAUUAUGCCUUUUUGCAGAAAUUUUUAGGCCAUUGUUUCUGGAAAUCCAAUUAUGCCUCAAAAUAUUAAUACUAGACCCAUCACACACUCUCCAAAUGACCCCUUUCUUAAGCAGUUCCAAGCCAUGCAUAAUACCCUGCCAAGUAACUCCAAUGAUUUUCUUAUUUCCUUCUGUAUUCACAUAUAGUCCUUUCCUUCUGUAUCUCCAAUGAUUUUCUUAUUUCUCCAAUAAAGGUGUCUUUAUUGUAAAUUUGAAAAAUAGUGUAUACGAAUCGUGUUGAGUUAGAAAAUGCAUAUAAACAAAUUCGUACACCUUAUACGAAAAGUAUUGUAGAUUUCUCCGGUUUGCGUGGGGUGGCAUGCUGUAGAUUCAAAAAAUCUGAGCGUGUAGCUGACACGUGGAGCCCAUGCGUACCUCAAGACUUGAUUAAGGCACAUGUGCAAGACGCAUAUGCAUGCUCUUCAGGCCUCUUUCAGAUUGUACUCCCUCCUUUUCUAAAUGUAAGUCUUUUUAGAGAUUUCAUUAUAAACUACAUACAAAGUAAAAUGAGUGAAUCUACAUUUUAAAACAUGUCUAUAUACAUCCGUGUAUAGUCCGUAGUGGAAUUUCUAAAAAGACUUAUAUUUAGAAACGUAGGGAGUACAUGAUAAGUGAAAGUACCUAACAACGAAAAGCGGCAGCUAACCAGUUGACAAAACAAAUGCCUAUGCUCACGACAAUAAGUGUUGGCAUCUUCUGUUAAAUUAAUCUCUGUAGUUGAAUCAAGGAGUGGGUGCAUGGUAAACUGAGUUCAGCGUGUGCUGAAUAUAUUUGUCGCCACAACAGUAGGUGAAGGCGCGAGGGAAUAGCGCAUCUCGCCCACCACGACAGACUAGGCAAAGCAGUUCGUGUUGUGUGUAUUAAUUCACCAUGUUACUCUCAAACAUUUGAACAAUGUGUAUGUGGUACGUACAUACGUAGCUAGUAUUUAAUUUGAGGAUACAUCAUAAUGACUGAAAAUCGUGUUGUUUCUUAUAAAAGGGUAUGAAGUAUGAUCAUGAAUAAGAAAAGCCAUUAGGAAAUUGAGGAGCAAAGCAGUGACAAACGAUUUGCUACCUAUUGGCAGUCAACACACUCAGAAGUAGGGAUGGCAGUUUUGCCCAUGAGUAUGGGUACCCGCGGGUACCCUAUCCGAAAACAAAGGGUAUGGGCAAAACUUGGAGACAUUUUGUACCCAUGGGUAAUGGGUAUCUAUACUCACAAAAUAUAUGGGUAGGAUAUCGGUAUGAAAUUGCGCCCAUGGGUAACCCAAUGAAUCCAGAGGACAGGGCCAAUUUAACUGCCAUCCGCACGGCCCGUCUUUAUCAUCAAUCCAUUUGGCUAAUUCUCUUUUCCCUCGGAUCCGAGUGGACUAACACCCUCAAAACGCUCUCCCUAUAACAUAUGUUGCACACACAAAUUGAAAUAAAUUCCAUGCCAUUACAAGUACCAAGCCAGGUUUUUGCUGCGAAUUUGAAGUACAAACUGACAUAAGAGGGGGUUCGCGUGCUCAGGGGGGCACUUCCACGCUCAACGCACGGAAAAAAUAUCUGAAUAGCCGCACGAUUUCUGAACUCCUAUUCAUUCCCAUCAGUCAACAAUCUCCUCGCAUAGGAAACCUGGAAGAUCACCCUUGUUCUCUUUCAUGGUCACAAGCUCGUAGGCAAUUUUCUUCCACAGGUCAUCUAGUUGCGUUUGCGACAAAACAGAAACAGAACACAUCUUUUUCAUUAGCACUGACUGGUUUGUUCAUUUUUUCUUCCAGAUACCCCCUCAUUUCCCACCUCACCAUACCUGGCUGCUGGGCGACGAACGUAGGUAGAGCCCGGUAUAUUGGCGGAAGUAGUGCACGAUGUACACGCCACUGUCCUCCCUGGUGAGCAUAGUUAGAUGAUUCAUUGCCUUUUCAUAGUUAGAUGAUUCGAACCAUGGCACUCAGUACGAUGGUAUUGCCUGCACCUUCUCACCAAAUUAAACUCUGUAUUCCAUCAGUUCAGAGUUUUCAUCAUCUCGAUGUAAUCACAGUCCACUUCAUUGUCUGGCUUGCAAAGUUCUUCCUGCAAAAGCACCCACAUCUUAUAUGAUAGGCAGCAAACAAUCCUAAGAAAAGCAACAUUGACAGGCAGUCAUCAAUUUUCAUACCAUAAAGUGUGGAUCGAAAAUCCCACUCCAUCUUGCUAGCCAGCCCUGGUACAUUUUCAUUUCCUUUGCACUCAGCAUGCGCUGUAUGCAUCUCCAGACUGUUGUCAGCUCACCAUCAUGAGCCAGCUCAUCUUUCAGGUCCUGUCCCGACGCCACUGCAGCCAGCGAAUGGAAGUGCCUGAACCAACAGCAAAUUCAAUGUAGCAGAGCAUCAUACAUGAUAAAACACACGCGAAGGUAAAGCAGUUUUCAUGAAUUCAGUUUCAAGUCUUUACUUCUGCGGAACAUUUUCGCUAGACCCUAGCAUUUGCUGUAUAACCACAUGAUAUCAUGCCUAGUGGGGUCAUCAUGCUCAUACGCCUCCCCAAGCGAGUCGAAGCUCAGUCCUAGUUCUAGCUACACUACAAUCUUAGUCGGCUCCUCCGCGUACUUGCGUAUCAAUUGCUCCAACGCACUCAUCCUAGAUGGACAUUGCGUUCUGUCCGGUGGCGCACUCCCAAGAUGUAACCUGUAUUUACACGCAAGCACCCCACAAUUAAGCAUCUGAUGGUAAAAGAAAGACAUCACAUGCCAGCAGCCACCCGAGCUAAACUACCUAUGACACCUAUCCCUAGCAAUUCACACAUGAACCAUCAUUUUAAUUUUUAUUAUUCUACAUACAACUAUUUUGCCAUAACAGAGAUCAUACAGCAGUGUACAAGGCCAGCACAGCAUUUGCAGAAAAACAGUAUCAUUUGGCAUUUGCUUCAUCUUUUACCAAUACUCAUGCUAGCCGGGCGCCUCAGGGUGGUCCCUGUCUGUCGAUUGAGCAGACCUUGUUGGAGAAGACUGCAGUCGCCCCAGUGCAUCGAUUUCGCCUCCGAAAUGUCGCCCGCGCCCAGAACCAGCGUUUGAAUCCCCCGCUGAUGUAGGGUGGAACCCUAUACGGCCGAUCUUUCACGAAAGGUCCGGAUCCCAACUAAGAACACGAAGAACGCGAGGGAAAACACGAUGGAAAACACGAGAGAAUCACCCAAACCAACAAGAACAAUCACACAUGUGCUAGAUCCUCGAAACACGAGAGGAGAUACAAGAUCCACGAUCAACAAAGGACGAUACAAAGGUAACUGGUUCUUCUCCGUAAGGAGGUCUUGAUGGGGCCACCCAAGAGGGGGUCUUGAAUCCAAGGUGGAUCUUCUCCGUAGAGGGACCGCAGUCUCUCUCAAGGAGCAGAUCCGUAUGGAUGCAAAGCUCUAUCUCACAUAUGAGCUAAACCAAUGCUGACCCUAACUAGGAGGAGGAGGGGGUUUAUAUAUAGUGUUAGCCCACGAAGGGGUAAGUGAGAGGGGGGAUACAUGGGCCCUUGGCCCGUUCACUGUACGCAGACACGUGCCGGAUGUCCGGGCUGGGGGCUGGAUGUCCGGCGGCUCACGAAGAGCCGGAUGUCCUGGCCAUGGCCCGAUGUCCGGGCUGAUUUCGGCCCUAACAAAUGCUCUCUGGAUAGGCGGGGUCGGAUAUCCGGGUGAAGGGGCCGGAUUUUCGGGGAUUCGGGAGUAGCCGGAUGUCCGGGGCAUGGGGACGGAUGUCCGGGCUGUCGGGGGCGCUUCCGGAGCUCUCUGAGUAGGUGGAGGCCGGAUGUCGAGCCGAUGUAGCAGCUGGCCCUUCUUCCUUCUUCUAUCUUCGCUUCCGCGCACGCUUGGCCUUGGUCCUUGGGUUCUCCAUGGUCUCCUCGGGUGUACCUGAGUAUGCACAAGGUCCGCGCUUGAGGUAGCAUCCAUGUCUUACAUGUGGAAAGGGAAGAUUCGGAAAGGAGCGAGUUCACCUUAGGUCCAAUGGCGUAUGCUUGAGGUGUCAACAUGUGGGCACUUGGGGCUUGAGGUGUAGUCGUAGUGUACAUGGGGAUGAUCGUAGGAUGCUCCGCAUCAUCUCCCCUCCCUUGGGAAAGAUCCAACCUCGGAUACGAAAACCUCGUCACCAUGGAAACGAUUGUCGUGGACGGACUUGUAGUUGGACAAAGUGGAAGACAUGGCGCAAUCCAAGUACUCCAAGGUGUCUCCGUAGUGGUACACAUGCAAAAAGAUCAAACACAAACGACACCUGGAAAGACAAUGGUUAGCGCACACAAGGUGUCCAUCAAGUAAACAUGAGUCCGUUCGGCAAGAUUGUUUGUGACAAAGCGCAUGAAGCUUAGUAAGAUGAUAUAAAAUGAUAUGCAAAGCAUUCAUGGGAGCAAAAGCAUUCAUUGUGCACACAAAUGUAUUGUGAACGUGAUCAAUGCAACCAUGGUGCAAAAUGAUGUCAUAGUGAGACGGUUUAUCAAUAGCAUGAAUAUGGCAGUUGGUGCUCAAUGUGAGUAUGUGAUCAUGCAAUUGAUGGUAGGCAAUGCGAUCAUGAUGUAUGAAUGCCAUCAAGGAAGAUAACAACAAAUUUGCUUAGGAAGUGCAUAAGCUCAUAUAUCAUGGAUGACAUAGAAAUGGAAGAUGCAACAAGGCAAUCAUAAUGUGAGUCAAUCCAUGCAUAAGAUGCAAAUUUGUUAUGGGUGGUGUUGUACCAUAGCUCGAUGUCGUGGUAGUAGUGUUGGUCCGGUGGUGCAUCCACUAAGUCCAAGCACUCCUCAACUUGAAGGUCCAUAGGGUCCAUCUCCAAUGUCGGUCCUCCAUCCAAUAUACGUAUCAUGUAGACAAGAAGAAGGAAACAACAAUGAAAGUAUGGCCCAUCCAAUAUGCAUAUGUGAAGAUGGCUCAAAGGGAAGGAGUUCACCUUUAGUAGUUUCUCGAAAAUGUUGGUGUCGCACAUCAUGUACGCCUUCACAUAACCAAUAUGUCUCGCGAUGGUACCGCCUUGUGAAUUCCUCAAAAUGAAAGAACAUGACAAACACUCGGAAAAACAAAUGAGGUUAGUGCAAAUGUAACACCUAUCAUUCGAGUGGUAAGAUACCCAACAAGUUUCUCAUCAUUCUUAUCAUAAGAAAGGACAACGUGUGGUAUGGUAUGAAAGCAUAUGAUGCAACUACAACCAAAGACAAUAGGCUCAAGUAAGCAAGCAUGCUUCACAAGUAAUAUGUCCAAGUCUCCACGAUCAAUAAGCAUAGCAAGUUGGCACUCAAUACAAGGUGAUAUGAGAGAUGCAACUAAUAUAGACAAGAGACAAUGACCAGGACAAAUCAAGUGAGAGGCAUGAACAUAUAUGUCAUCAACCCAAGAAAGCGAGUAAUAAUGGAACAUGGGUGAUGCGACAAAGCAAGCAAUCAUAGUGAUCAAGUCAAGCAAGCUAGUAGUGCGAAGAUGCAACGUACUAGAAGGAAUCAUGGCAAGCAUGUCAUGUGUGCAAAUAAUGGUCAUGAAUAAUGCACAUGACAUAUCGCAAGCAUGAAAGCAAGAUAUGAGUAAAAUAUCAUCAAUGUAUUGGCGAGAGGCCAUAUGUAAAUAGCAAUGGGGCAUCAUGACUCUCCCAACACAAGAAUCAACAAUAGCAUGUGGCACAUGGUAAACAUGGCAAUAACAACAAGUAUCUCCACCAAGCAUGCAAAUACACAUAGAAGUAGUAUAAUGGUGAAUCAUAUGUAAGUGAAGCAAGGGUCACAAUUGCAUGGCAAAGGCAUGGAAAGAGGCAUAGCAUGCAAAGUGAACACGAGAAAAUGAGCAUAACGUAACAAGUGAUAUAUAGCCCAAAGCCGUGUGAGAGCCAAGUAAAAAAA
rnacentral:lncRNA from 1 species